rnacentral:lncRNA from 1 species
GAGGCAGGCUGGGUCCGCCUGGCAGCCUACGGGAGGAGGCGGGAGCCGGGAAGGAGGGGAGCCUAGGCCCGGCGUGGGGAGGCCGGCAGGAAGGGCCUCGAGCCCAGUGCGGACCUUUCUUCAGCCUCUGUGCGACCGAGCCGCGCGCCAGGCUCCUGUGCGAGGAGGACGCGCUGACUCCCUCCGACCUGGGCUCCGAUGGAGCAGAAAUAGCGGGACCUGGACUUGUGGCGCGCCUGGUGCCACAUCUCGGGCUCUGCGAGCGUCCUGGCGCGGGAUCCUGCCUGUUCCCUUCUUUUCGCCAGGUUUGCAUCCAAGAGAGGGGAGGACAGGGGCAAAAGGAUGCAGGGAGGCUGCUGAUUUCCACUGAAGAGCUAAUUUCCUGUGAGACAUUAACAGUGAUUUAAGAAAAAGAUUCCUGUAACUGAGACAAUUAGGAAAAAAGUAAACAAACGGAGCAGGAUUUGGGCAUAACAGCAUGCUCCUCCCAUCCCCCAAAUCCCAGGAGUGUCACUGAGUAAUGUCUUACAAUAACAGAAUGCAGGAGAGCACAUAUCAAUGAAGAAAAGACAAAAUGUACUUAUCCAUGAAGCUGAGGUUAAGAAACCAGUGUCUUCAAGAGCCAGGGACAGCACUGGGUCUGUGCAGAGUUGAGAGAUGGUGAUGACAUGGUGAGACACAAAUUCAGUCUAUUUCAUAGUUUGUGGUCAUUCCUAUUAAUAAACUUCCUUUCACAACUGUUUCAAUAUUCACACAAAAAUGUUAACCCAAUCUGCAGUUGUACCCCUUGAAUGUAAAAUAAAAAACAAAAGCCCACAAAAAUAGGAAUCCACACUUAAAAGGUGGAUUUAUUUAGCACAGUAUGGAGUUUCUUAGACUUCUCUAUCACUGUCUCUAACAAUGACAUACUCACCUAACCCCACUAAGAGCAACUUUAUUUCAUCUCUAGUUUUCGUCUAAAGAUUCAUGUGGAUUUUAGAUUCUACUCUUUUGUAGGUUCGUAUUUGUACUAUUAUAAAAUGUGACUCUCUCUCCAAACUUUGCCUAAAUUAUGGAAUGAUUUUUCAUGUUUAUCCAGUGGUUUCCAGCAUUCUUGGCCCAGUCUGGGAUUCUACUCUUUUGUAGUGGUUUCCAGCAUUCCUCACCCAGUCCAGGGACACUGUGGGUGUGCCCAGCUUAAGUCCAGUAACUGGAAAUACAAGCCCAAGUUCUGGAGAGUUUGAGCUGCAGAGAUAUAUAUGGGAACACUUUGAAUCUUGACUCAUUGGCCAUAACCAGCAGAGUGGAAAAUACAAGAAGAGAAAAAAACAUUGAACUGCGAUUUUAUAACAUCCUUUACUAGGCAGAGAGAAGAGGAAACACCAGGAAAGAAAACUGUAUUACGAUGUGAAAACUUAAUGUUGAGAAAUUCAGGCAUCUUGGGGUUAGUGAGGAGAAGUUUUAGGGGCUUAGAUUCUUCUAAACACAUGUACAGAAAUGCAUAUUUCAUCUGAUAUCAAAUGGCAUUUAUAGUGCUAAUCUUUACCUCAAGACUUCACAUCUUUUGGUGAUUGCAUCUUUUAGGUUUAUAGCAGCUAAGUUUGCAUGAAAACACCAGGGCUGUUUCAUUUCAGUCAAGAAUUAAUGUUCAUUGAUUGUGCUUCUGCAUUUCAUGUAACUAUUGUAGAAUUUGUUUUAGUUUUAUGAGGGAAUAAUUGUUCCAACUUCUAUAUAACUCAGGAAUUUACUCUCAAACAACACUGUCAAUUAGUUACUUAUCUCUCUGGAAAUGAUCUGGGAACAUGGAGAGGAAAGGGAGGAAGGGGCAAAAUCUGACCACUUAAAUCUAAGCAUAUUAGAUCAUUUUAUGCUAGAAAGUCCUGAAUGAUGUGACUUUCGUUCUUGUAAAACACCUCUUUCCAUAGAUUCAUGGCCCAAACAGUAUAUAAAGAGUGGGGAAGGAACUGCAUUUGCAAAUAGUUCAAAUCAUUGCUCCAUCUUAACUACGCAGUUCACAAAGUGUGAAGAAAUGUGAUCAUCUCAAAAAAGAUAAUGGGGAAAAAAUAUGUUUUGUUCUGUGACUUUAAAGUCUUGCAAUAUUUUACAUAAAUGAUAAUGGGUGCUUUAAUAAGAACUCUUGAUACUUUUGUUAUUGUAUUCAAUAUAUGCAUAUAAUACAACAGGAUGAUAUUGUUUUGGAUUUGGAAAUGUAUUCUUUCUUAUGCAAUCUUAUGCAGUCAUACUGCUUGAAUAUCAUUACCUGAAUUUAUCUUUCUUUUUUUUGUUGUUGUUUUACACUCUACUUAUUUGGUGCCUGUCAGUCUUUUGUCGUCAGUUUAUAUUCUACUAAACUCAAAAAGACAAUCUCAUACCUUUUGUAAUUGUAGGCAUUCUUUACUAGAUUUUUAAAUACACUUCAAAAAUUCAAGUACUUUGAUUUCAUGCCAUCAAGUAGCUGAAUCUAUCCCCCCGUCUCUUUUUAAAUUUAAGUGAGUAGUUCAAUUUCUGUCACUUUCUACUUUGUGAAUUCUAAAUCUUUUAAAACCAUCUUGCCAUUUUUCGUGCACUUACCCUUACAGAAAACUCUGUGAAACACUACUUAUCUCUACUUUUAUGUUUUUAACUCCUUUUUUAUAUUACUAUUCCCUCUGCUUUCUAAAUGCACAUAUUAAUUUGUUCUUUUUAUUCUCUGUAGCUCUUCUCAGUGUAUGAAUUCAGUUUCCCAUCAGUCUCCAUACAAUUAAAAAAAAGUUGAGUAUUCUGUUAUUUUAAUAAGAUAUCUAGUGCCCAUAUUCUAAUUCUGCCCCUUAUUUUUAAUAUAAUUUUAUUGUUGAUUUAAAAUGACAACAGUUUCAAUUCCCAGAAAGUGAAAGGAAACAAAGGAAUAAUAUUAUAGGCUUAAUUUUUAUCAGUGAACUUGUAGGUGAAGAAAAGAUUUGGGGAAGGAAAUGAACAUAUUAUAUUGCAAAAUAGUAAGGAACAAUCAGAUGUGUUUUCUAGUCUCUGGAAAAGCAUGUUUCAAGAAAUUCAAUGAAAAGUUCAUCAUGCUUGCUUAGAUUGUUGAGAAGCAAAAACACUGAUGAACAUUUGGAAGCAAUGAGAAUGUAAUUCUAAUCAUACUCUUUUAAUAAUGUUGCAAAACUCUCCAAACACUACUCUGUGUGGAUGUCUUUCAGAAUAUGAUGAAUACUAGUAGUCUUAUUCUGCCCUUUUCUCUCUAUCACAAUAUAUACAUUCUAUAUUGCAUACACAUAUUUUCCAAAUAUUACAUAUAAUUUCAUGUAAUUUAUAGACCUAUUAAGGCCCAACCAUUUUCUUGGAUAGGGGAUUCUUUAGAAGUCCAGCUUAAAUAAAGCCCGUAUAGAAAGUUUUUUUAAAAUUUAUACAUAAUCACCUAAAGUAACCUUAUCUACUGAACUCUUAGUACAUGCUACUGGAACCUUUUAUCAUGUUUCUUCCUGGCUUGCAUUACAACACUGUUGACAUAUCUCAGCCUUACUUCUAGGCUUCUUUGAGAGCAUGACUCAUGUUUGUAUUCCUCACUGAGGUUGAAUGAAUAAGAGAAACUACAGUAGUAGGAAAAAACAGUACAUGUACAUAUCAAUGAAUAUGAAAGGGUCAAAUGGAUCUAUUAUAGUAAGCACAAAAUCAACUGACACCAGCAAAGUAAACCCAAAAUUUUUAAUGGUAUUUUAAUAGAUCAAGAGGAGCAAGCAGAUUUUUGAGACAGUUGUCUCCUACUUUCUCUAUCACAGGGAGUAAUUUUAAAAGAAAAAUGGAGGGUAAGUUUCUUUAAGAGAAAAUUGUAGUUUAAAACAGGUCAUGGGAUAAUUAGAAAUAAUUUAAUUUCUUUAGAGGAUUUUAAUCUUUCAACUGCUUGCAAUUAGAUCCUAAGGCAAUAAAAGAAUAAGGAGAUUUGGAAAACCAUUGUCUGUAAUCUCUGAAGAAAAGUGGACAUUAGGGGAGUCAGUUGAAAAGCAAAGCUAUCACCAUUUUCUAAAGAGGAAAAAGGUGAACCUCACAAACUAUAGACCAAAAAAAUAGGACAUCGAGAGAAAGAAUAUGAAGCUAGCAUAGGUUCACAAAGAAUGAGUCAAAUCAAACAACAUGCAUUUUUUAUUUAUAAAGCAUGACUUGUUCAUUGUCAAUUCAUGUUAGCUUAAUCAUUAGGCAUUAAUGCCAUCACUGCAAUGCAUAUGUCAGCAAUAAAUAAUCAAAGACCAGGCUUCCAUCAUUCUGUUUAAUAUCUUCAAGUAAUGCUUAAGUUUGCAAAUGCUCUUUUAACACAUUCUCCAUAUGCAGCCUGCCCAGCACUGCACACAAUAGACCUGUUACUUCCCCCUCACGAGCACUCCUAAUAUUUCAUGUGCUCAUCCAAUUGACUUCUCCCACUGGUGCCUCAUAUUGAAUUUGUAGAAUCACACCUGCUCCUUUUUCAAAACUCUUCUGAGUUUUUUCUUAAAUAAUUCACUGACCCCAAAGUUGUCAGAUAUUUGAAGACUACUCGCACAAUUUUAAUAUUAUAAAUGUAUAAUGUAAAUGUAAUUAAGAUUUGUAUAAUGUACGAUGUACUUUGGUAAAUAAAAGUAUGCUGUGAAUAAAUACGUAUGAUACAAUUCAAAAUUUUACAUAAAUAUGUGAUAAAAUUUAGCUCAUAUUCUUUUUUUUUUUCUUUGAGACGGAGUCUCACUCUGUUGCACCCAGGCUAGAGUGCAGCAGCAUGAUCUCAGCUCACUGCAACCUCUACCUCCUGGGUUCAAACAAUUCUCCUGCCUCAGCCUCCUGAGUAGCUGGGAUUACAGGUGCCCGCCACCAUGCCCAGCUAAUUUUUUUCUAUUUUUGUUGUUGUUGUUGUUUUUAGUAGAGACGGGGUUUCACCAUGUUGGUCAGGCUGGUCUUGAACUCCUGACCUCAGAUAAUCCACCUGCCUCGGCCUCCCAAAGUUCUGGGAUUACAGACGUGAACCACGGUGCCCGGCCUAGUUCAUGUUCUUUAAGGACAAUUAUGAAUAUUUUUAUGCACUGUUAAUUUUCAUUAAGAUAUUGAUCAAUUAAUAGCUAUAUAUGUUCUAUAAAUUAAUCCUAUCUAGUUUCAAUCUUAAAUUGUUUGCAUAUACCAAUCUAGUUUAUUGUUUGCAUAUAUUUUAUAGUGUAGAGAUUAGGCAUUUUAAUAAAAUUUUAAAAUUUCCAGGACAUACUGUUAAUGACUAUGCUUCCUACUAUAGGCCAUAAUUAAUUUUUUUCUAUUGUCAACAAUAUUUUGGUAGGGAUGAUCAGGAAAUAAGGAAAUGUUUCCUUCAUUUGUUAACAAUAGGUGUUUGGGGAUUUUAAAAUGAAAAUUGAAGAAGUAAAAGACACCAUAUAUUUAGUUUGUUUGAUUUCGUGGCUUCAAGAGUUCAAUAAUUUAUUGAAAUAUUUUACAGACCAAAGAACAACAGAUAUAUUACGUUUAUAAGCCCCCACAUAUUUUAAAGGAUAAUGGUUUAUAUAUGAAAAUUCCCUGAACCUACACUUCAUCAGGAAAAGCUAAAUAAAAGAAGUUUACAUUUCCUAGGACUAAUGGAGAUUUAUUUCCCAGUCCUCUUCUCUGGAGACAAAUGUAGGUCUCUCUUGAAAAGCAGAAAGUUUUGCAUAUGAGGUAUGAUUUAGUGGGCUAGAAACAUCUUUUCCACCCUCCCCAAAAUGUUUCACUAUGUUUUAUCAUACUAUCUGAUAAUUUUGCACUAAAGUUUUCUUUCUGUGUUAAGAAAAUGCAAAUAUCUCUGAAUGGGUCUCUUUGCUUUAGUCAUACUCAUAUGGCUACUACUGAACAAAAUAUGUUCAUUACAGGAUGAAGGGAAUGUUGCCAGCCAGCAAAUCCCUAGAGUUUGCACUACACCAAACGUUGCUUAGCAAUUUCCACGAUUUUCUCAGUCUAAUUUGCAAGAAUCAAGGAGAUGUUUGUGUAUGCUACAUGAAGUUGUAAAAUUGGUAUUUAUUGUAUGUUUCUAUAUCGAAAGCUUUACAAACAAAGGAAAUGGAAAGUUAACAGGUGGAUAUGAUAGUGUGGCACUACUUUAGCUGGAUGGUAAGGGAGAGCUUCUCUUAGGAAGUGUUUUAGGCCAGGACUUGAAUAAUGAACAGUAUCUAGUUGUACAAAAAUCUGGAGGAAAGACUUUUCAGGCCCAGGAGAAAUGAAAAUUCUUUUCAUGCAUACAAGAAUGAAAGUGAAAAUUACCUACUCUAUGUCCUGAAGUGGGAAGUUGGCUUGCCAGAGAGUAGGUAAUUUUCACUUUGAUUCUUUCAUGCCUUCAGUUAUACUACUUCUUAGGUUAGUUCAUAAGGGUUUCCACAAUUUGGUUCCCACUUAAAAUUUAAAACUUCCCUAACCCAUUCCCACCAUAUAUUGUGCUAAUCCAUGCAUAUGUGACUUUGCGUAUGCUGUUUUCAUUGUUUAAUAUUCUUCUCAUGCAUUCGUUCUUUCCUGAUAACGAACUCAUCUUUGAAACUCCCCUUCAAGCAUCCUCUACUUUAGGAGGCCGCUUCUCACUGUCUCCUGCCUACCACCCAUUGAAUUGUUCAAUUUUUAAGCUGCCAUUGUCUUGUGCAGUUGACACAUUUCUUUGCAAUUACUGAUUUACAUGUCUGCUUUUAUCACUGGUGAGGUUCUUUAGGACAGAGACAUUAUUAAUUCAUCUCUGGGCACAUAUGUUCCAACAUAUUAGAAGUACUACAGAGUGCUAUUACUAUGUAGUAUGUAGUAUUAGUAGUAGUUACUCACAAAUCAUUUUUAAAUAAGUGAUUAUAAUAUCUUUUUGUUAUUAUGAUUUAACACAAGAUGGAAUUUAUUUUCAGAAGUUUCCAUGAUAUAUUUGUUCUAUUUAAAAUCCAAUAGCCAUUAGAAUAUUACCAUUAUUUAAUGUAAAACAAUAAAAUAUUAAAUAUGAUCGUUCAUAUUUAAUGCAAACCGAACUCAUGGAAAUAUUGUGUAAAGAUCAAGUAAUUUUUGACAUACAAUUUUAAACUCAACUUUUCAUAUAGCAUACCUUAUGAUAUAUUUUCAGCCUACUUUUAAAUAUGUUGGCAUUGAAAGCCAGUUACUAAUUCGCUGAAUUCAUGAUUUCUUUUUAAGUUAUAGAAGUGGAAUUAUGUUUGAGAUAUUCAUUGCAUUACAUUUACCAGAACUUGAGUUCUUAACAUGGAACCUGAGAGUUUCUCCAAUUCUUAAGUCCCUGGGAGAAAUAGAUUAGCUGGAUGAGGAACUGAGAGGAAAAAUGGUCAGAGAUGUAGCAAGAGUUGGGAAGAAGGAACAAUGAUUUGCUUUCAAGGAGAUUUUUUCAUUGGUCUGUUUUCAGUGACAAACCCACUGCGAUAAUACAUGUAAAGUGAAAACAUUCAGGAAGUUCCCUUAGAAACCUCUUUUCUGGCAGUUCCUAAUUCUACAACAUUGUAUAAGUGAAAUACCAUAGUUACUGUCAUAGUAAAUUGAGCCAAGAGAAACAAGGGAGCAGGAGAAGAAAAGAAUUAAAGAGAGUUUUGUCUUUCAGUCUUCACUCUGUUUCUUCUUGCUUUUACCAGUCAUUCAGGUUUAUAUAAUUUCUUUAGAGAGGCUUCUACUAUGCAGGUCUUCCUUAAAGUCAUUGGUAUUACCUGGCAUGAUAUGUGAGCCUUUAAUAUCAGUCCCUUUAUCUCUUUAUUUUUAAAGUUUAUAUCAGUACAGAGUCCUGGAUUCUUAAUUAAUUUAAUAGGUUAGACUUUAUGCUAAUAUUCUUCAUUUUGAUGCUCAAAUUUUCCAAAAUUUGGCCAGCAGGGUUCCUUAAAGCUGGGUACCUUGCCCUUUCAACAUGUCCCUCUGAUUCUUUAUUUUUAUUUACUUAUUUAUUUAUUUAUUUAUUUAUUUAUUUAUUUAUUUAUUUAGAGACUGAGUCUUGCUCUGUCUCCCAGCCUGGAGUGCAAUGGCACAAUCUUGGCUCACUGCAACCUCUAUCUCCCAGGUUCAAGCAAUUCUCCUCCCUCAGCCUCCCGAGCAACUGGGACUACAGGCAUGUGCAACCAUGCCUGGCUAAUUUUUUUUGUAUUUUUAGUAGAGACAGGCUUUCACCAUGUUGGUCAGGCUGGCCUCGAUCUCCUGACCUCAAAUGAUCCAUCGCCUCGGCCUCCCAAAGUGCUGGGAUUACAGGCGUGAGCUGCCACACCCAGCCGUCCCUCUCAUUCUUUAAGUACUUCCAUGUUUUCUAAGGUACAAGAUGUUCCAUAUUAUUUUGUUAUUUGUCUUCCCCAGCUCUGAAAUCUGCCUUUCCUUCAAGGAGCCUUGGUUCUUUCUAGUGACAAAUUAUAUUUAGAAAGAAGAUCUGGGUAUUUGACUUGUAUAUUGCUAUUAAUUGGCCAUUGUUUCUAGUCUCUUUCAGUAGACAGAGCUAAGAAAUGUAAAAGGAAAUAUUUGAAUGUAUGUAUAUGUGAUAUAUUAAGUACAUUUAAACAUAUUAAAUUCAUGAGUUCAUACUAAUACUUUCAAUAAGCCACAAUUCCCUUUUCAUGUUUUCGAAGGAAAAAUAUCCAUUGUCUAUAUACAGUGGACAUAGAUAGUAAUAAUACUGAUCUUGAAAAGAGCAGUCUUAAAUAGAUCCCAUUAAUAGUUAAAGAUAACAUAUCUUAGAAUUCUAGAUAUUAGAGAGAUUAUCUAGAGCUGUAAUCUAGAUAUUUUAUAGAUCUUUGCUGUGCUGUUUUGAAUUUGUGUUGGAGUAGAACAAUCAGAUGACAAAAGCUCAUCCCACAUGGAAAAAUCAAAGCAUUCAUUACAGAGAGAAUUUUGAAAUAAAUGCAUAUAUAAAAAAUAUAUAUGCAUAUAUAAUGCAUAUGUAUAUGCAUAUAAAAUAUAUAUAUAUAAAAUGAGGGUUAUAAACAAUGAAGGAAAUAGUGAUACUAUCUAUGUGGGAACAAUACUAGUAUCCUCCCUUUGGAUGAAUACAGUAGCUACAGAUGCAAUUCUGGGGACUCUGUUUAGCAAUAGCUUAACUAUUGCUUGGCUACAAGCAUGGAUAACUUGUUCAAAGAUAAUGAGGAGUUGUAAAUAUUUAAAUAAACAGGAUUUGCAACAUAAAAAGCUUUGUGACUAUGUGUCUGAAUUCUUAGAGUUUUCUCCCAGCAAGACCUUGGAUGUGGCAGACUUUUCUGUAAUUGUCCAUCUCGCCCCUAUUUCAUGAAAAGCCAGAGCUUCUCUACUUAGUUUGCUAACCCCAAAUAUAUAAAUUCAAUAGAAGUACUAGCCUGUUUUUACUGGUUUAUUUGCUUUAUCUAAAAAAAACAAGGCAUAGUUUAAAGUCUGUUUUUGAUAGCAUAACAAAACAAAGGUUCUCAUUUUAAUAAUGCAUCACAUAUACACUUGGUAACUAUUGCAUAGUAAUAAUUUAAUAACUUGAGAAAUAUAUUUAUGCAUGUAUGUGUAUAUGUUCAUAUAUAUGUUAUUUUUAAUUCAGAAGUAAAACAAAUAUUGGAAGAGGCCACAGUUAUUAUAAAAAUAAUUUGACCAGUAUUGGACAAUGCAAAUAGCAAUCAUUUAGAAGUUUCU